rnacentral:tRNA from 1 species
GGAGAGAUGGCCGAGUUGGUCGAAGGCGCUCGACUCGAAAUCGAGUAGGUGGCUAAUAACCGCCUCGUGAGUUCGAAUCUCACUCUCUCCGCCA